UCAGAUUGAACGUUGGCGGCAUGCCUAACACAUGCAAGUCGAACGGUAACGACGGGAGCUUGCUCCCGGGCGACGAGUGGCGGACGGGUGAGUAAUACUUAGGAAUCUGCCCAGUAGUGGGGGACAACAUUCGGAAACGGAUGCUAAUACCGCAUACGCCCUACGGGGGAAAGCGGGGGAUCUUCGGACCUCGCGCUAUUGGAUGAGCCUAAGUCGGAUUAGCUUGUUGGUGAGGUAAUGGCUCACCAAGGCGACGAUCUAUAGCUGGUCUGAGAGGAUGAUCAGCCACACUGGGACUGAGACACGGCCCAGACUCCUACGGGAGGCAGCAGUGGGGAAUAUUGCGCAAUGGGCGAAAGCCUGACGCAGCCAUACCGCGUGUGUGAAGAAGGGUUUAGGCUCGUAAAGCACUUUAAGUAGGGAGGAAGGUCUGUAACUUAAUACGUUGCAGAAUUGACGUUACCUACAGAAUAAGCACCGGCUAACUCCGUGCCAGCACCCCGCGGUAAUACGGAGGGUGCAAGCGUUGUCCGGAUUUUACUGCGGUUUUAAAAGGGUCCCGUAGGCGGGUCUUUAAGUCAGUGGUGAAAAUCCCUGCGGGCUCCACCCGUAGAACUGCCAUCUGAUACUGAAGAUCUUGACUAUAGUUGAGGUAGGGCGGAAUUUAUGAUGUACCGGGUGAAAUGCAUAGAUAUCCUAAAGAACCCCCAAUUGCGAAGGCAGCUUACUAAACUAUUACUGACGCCUCAGGGACCAAAGCGUGGGGACCGAACAGGAUUACAUACCCCUGCUAGUCCACGCUGUAAACGAUGAAUACUCGAUGUACGCGAUAUAAUGUAUGCCGUCCAAGCGAAAGCAUUAAGUAUUCCACCUGGGGGAGUAC
rnacentral:rRNA from 1 species